GAGAAGAAGAGAAGAGAAAAGAGAAAAGAAGAAAGAAAACCUUACAAAAAACUCUUAAACCUCUCCCCUUCACAUCUCUCUCUUCUCUUCUCUCACACACCCUCUCUCUCUCCAAA
rnacentral:ribozyme from 13 species